rnacentral:misc_RNA from 1 species
AAAAUAUAGCAAACCGAGCGUCAGCGAGGUUUUGCGAUCAAAAAUUGUAUUUAAAACCCAACUCUUUGAAUCAAAUAUAUAUUAAUGUAUCAUAAAUAAAUAAAAGA